rnacentral:rRNA from 1 species
AGGUCUUGCCUGCCCAGUGACAAGUUAAACGGCCGCGGUAUUUUGACCGUGCAAAGGUAGCGCAAUCACUUGUCUUUUAAAUGAAGACCCGUAUGAAUGGUGAAACGAGGGCUUAACUGUCUCCCCUCUCAAGUCAAUGAAAUUGAUCUGCCCGUGCAGAAGCGGACAUAUAAAUACAAGACGAGAAGACCCUUUGGAGCUUAAGAUAUAAAAUCAACUAUGUCAAUAAAACCAAAAAUCAAAUUAAACUAAAUAGCACCUGAUUCUUAUCUUCGGUUGGGGCGACCACGGAAGAAAACAAAGCUUCCAUGCGGACUGGGGCUUAUAAGCUCUAAAACCAAGAAAGACAUUUCUAAGUAACAGAACAUCUGACCACUAAGAUCCGGCAACCAAAGCCGAUCAACGGACCAAGUUACCCUAGGGAUAACAGCGCAAUCCCCUUUAAGAGUCCAUAUCGACAAGGGGGUUUACGACCUCGAUGUUGGAUCAGGACAUCCUAAUGGUGCAGCCGCUAUUAAGGGUUCGUUUGUUCAACGAUUAAAGUCCUACGUG